rnacentral:rRNA from 1 species
AUGCCACCGCCGCGCGCAGCGCUUCGCCGUCUUCUCCCCGCCACCGGCAUCCAACCUAUCCGGCGCCGCCCCGCGCCGCCUCCACCAGCCGACCAGAGCCCCCUGCCCGACCCCUACGCUCUCCUCGUCCACGACCCCAUCGACCUCCUCUCCUCGCUGUGGCGCCGCGCCUUCGCUCACCCGCCGUCCACCCCUUUCCCCAACCUCUCCGGCUACGCCUCCCGCCUCGACCUCUGGCUCCUCUCCUACCAGCGCGCCUGCGCCCACGCCACCGGCUCCUUCCCGCCGCGCCAGGCCGUCCCGCUCCCCACCCUCCACUCCCUCCUCCGCCUCCGCGCCGCCGCCCUCCGCCGCCACCCCGCCUUCCCUUGGGGCGCCUCCACCCACCUCCUCCUCCGCUCCCCCGCCGACGCCCCCUCCACCGUCCCCGUCUCCCGCCGCAAGCUCACUGCCCGGCUAGCCAACGCCCCGCCCCCCUUCCAGGACCACGUCGUCCAGGAGCUCCUCCUCCUGCUCCUCGAACCCGUCUUCGAGCCCCGAUUCUCCCCCAAGUCGCACGCCUUCCGCCCUGGACGCGGGCCCCACACCGCCAUCCGCUCCGUUCGCUCCGGCUUUGCCGGCUACCUCUGGUUCAUAACUGCAGACCUCACAACCGUGGUCGACGCCUUAUCGUCGGACACAAUUCUGUCCUGUGUGGAGAGGGCCGUCUCUGAUCGCAAGGUGCUGUCUUUACUCAAGUCGGCACUCAACGCCCCAGUCCGGCCCGGGUCUGUGCCACCAAGGGAGAAGGAUCUCGAUGGGCUAAGCAAGAAGAGGCUAAAAAGGAAGGUGCUCAGGAAGAGCAGGAAGAAGAAGGUGCUUAAUGAGGAUGAGCCCAAGCCAGACCCUUAUUGGCUGAGACUGUUCUUUGGGUUCGCCCCAGAACAGGCGUGUCACGUGCCGGAAUAUGGGCAUUGCGGGAUAAUUAGUCCAUUGCUAGCCAAUGUGUGCCUUAACGAGUUGGAUUGGUGGAUGGAGGAGAGGAUUAACGAGUACUUCCGCCCGUCAAGGCAUGAUUCGAUAUGGAAGGAGGCGGGCGAUGAGGGAUGUCAUAAUCCAUCUUGGCCUGAGUUUGUUCCAUCAAGUGGGAGGGAGAAGACCAGGAAGAUGGAUUUCCUUAGAUUUGGCUCUCAUGUGUUGAUUGGGGUCCGGGGGCCGAGGGAGGACGCGGUUGAGAUAAGGAGGCAACUAAUGGAGUUUUGUGAGAGAACAUUUGGUUUGAGGCCAGAGAAUUCGUCAGUGGAGAUUGAGCACAUCACAAGGGGGAUUGAAUUCUUGGAUCAUGUCAUUGCCCGCCGGGUCAUCUACCCAACCUUGCGAUAUACCGCCAGUGGAGGAAACAUUGUGAGUGAGAAGGGUAUUGGAACAUUGUUAUCUGUCACAGCAAGCUUGCAGAGGUGCAUAAGGCAUUUCAGAAAGCUUGAGCUUGUAAAGGGGGACAGGGAUCCUGAGCCAUUACCGUGUUCACCAAUGCUGUACUCUGGGCAGGCACACACUAAUUCUCAGAUGAACAAAUUUCUUGAGACCAUGGCUGAUUGGUAUAGGUAUGCGGACAACCGGAAGAAGAUUGUAGGGUUCUGCGCAUAUGUUAUACGCAGCUCUUUGGCAAAGCUUUAUGCAGCAAGGUAUAGACUAAAAUCCCGUGCUAAGGUUUACAAGAUUGCAUCGCGUGAUCUCAGCCGCCCGUUGAGGGAGAGCACAAACAAUGAUGCACCAGAAUACUCUGAUCUCUUGAGGAUGGGAGUUGUUGAUAUUAUUGAGGGUGUACAAUUUGCGCGCAUGUCAUCAAUUCCAUCAUGUGAUUAUACAACUUUCCCUAGAAACUGGGUACCUCACCAUGAGCUUGUAUUGCACGAGUAUAUCAAACUGCAAGAUCCAAAGUUCUUCUGCGAACUUCACAAGACAAUCAAACGACGGGAGAUAAGUUCACCACAGGAUGACGUAUCGAAGAUGGUGUGGCAUUAUAAGGUUCAUGGUGUUUAUGAUAAUAACAGGGUCUCAAAGAAAUUAAAUGAAUGGAGGAGUAAUGAUGAAGCUGUCAAUGGGGACACACAACUUCUGUUGGAUAAGUAG